rnacentral:lncRNA from 1 species
UUUAUUAAAACAUGAGAAAGAGAGUGAGACAGAGAGAGAGAGAGAGAGAGCACGAGCAGGGUGGAGGGGUAGAGGGAAAAGCAGACUUCCCGCUGAGUAGGGAGCCAAUAUGGGACUCAAUCCCAGGACCUUGGGAUCAUGACCUCAGCCCAGGGCAGAUGUUCAACCAACUAAACCACCCAGGUGCCCUUGAUUUAUACACAUUUGCAUGAAAACACAUAUUGGAUCCCAAGAAGUGAACUCAGUCAUUAGCAAAAAUACUAUCAGCCUUUGUAAUAUCCUGGUAAUCUAGGCGUGAUUAAAACCCUCACCAAAGACACAUAGCCAAAAGCUAUCUAAUAAUGAGUUUUGUCAAUAUAUUUAAAUUUUGAGAAAAUAUUUAAAAUCUUAUAAAUGUAACUAGUUACAUCAGCUAGUUGUAAUAUCUUUAGACCCAAGCUGAGAUUCAGAUGCUCAGGGUAGUGUGUGCAAGAAAACUGUGUCAAGUGGAAAUGAAAUUUUAUUGGAAAGGACCUUUCUAGAGUUGUAUAAAGAAUUAGGGAAAUAUUCACAGGAAUCAGUUAAUCUUGCUUCUGCUGCUUGAAACAUGGGAUUCUUUUACCCUUAACAUGACUGGUAGGUAUGUGAGGGUAUCUUAGGAACUGUCAAAUCUUCAGGUUAGAUAUUUUCUUGAUUUUCAAAUGGACUCCAAGAUGGCCAUGUAGCAUUGGUCUCCAGGGUGCCCAUGGCAGCUGUUGCCAACUUUCUGUCUUCAUUCUAUUCCUUGUCUUUGAAGCCUUGCGUGACCAAAAUACUCAUUUGCCUGAAUGUGGGAGGGAGACAGAGUGGUCUUUUUUGUUACUGGUGUCAGAAUGUCAGCUUUUCUGAGUACUACUGAUGCAAUUUCCACUCCUGCCAAAGUCUUCUCAUCAUCUCUCAUCUUGACUGUCACCUCCUAUUUGCAAUGGUCAAUCCAAGUUCCAGUGCUUUGGGCUUCUCCAUCAACACACCCUUUUGACAGUCAAUGGAUCAAAAUUUGCACUAUUUCCAACUUAGCUUUCAUAUUGUUCCUUGACUCAAAUAACUGGCUACUUCUAAAAGUACUUUGUCUUUUUAAAUUUUAAUUCUUCUUUAGAGAGAGAGAGAGAGAGAGCCAGAGAAUCUCAAGAAGGCUCUAUGCUCAGUGUGGAGCCCGACAUGGGGCUCAAUCUCACAACCCUGAGAUCAUGACCAAAGCUGAAAUCAAGAGUUGGACACUUAACCAACUGAGCCACGCAGGUGCCCCCUUAUAAAAGUAUUCUAAAUACACAAGUUACAGCUAAAGGUUAUACUGAAAGUAGUAUUUUGGGAGCAACUAUUAGCAAAUAGAAUGAAUAAGACCCCCUCCUUUGUUCAGUCUGUGAAUAGUACCCAUUUGUUUGCUUGUAAACACCAUAUAUCUUCCACAAUAAUCAUUACAUGCAAGUACUGACAUCUUACACUUGGCAGGAGAUUCAAAUAUGGGUAAUUCAGCAGCACUUAAAAAAUAAAAACACAUUAUCUCUGACAUAUGAGCAGUAAUGACCAUACUAAGCUAAAAAGAUCAACAAAGAGUUGUCAUAAUAGUAGCAUAAUUGUGACCUGAAAAAAUCUGUUUCUCUAAAAUUGUGACCUUCCCAUGGACAGUAGCACAAGGAAGUAAAAUUUAUAAGUGAAAAUCAUUUCCUACAACUUGCACUAUAUUUUCAGAUAAUUCUAUUGACUUCUACAGAGUUUAUGCAGUCACUAUGAGAUCUCUUCACCCGUUGACUCAAUCAUACAGUAAAUAUUUACCAACCCGACAGAAUAGAGUUUGUUAAGCCAUUUCUAUUACCUUGUCUCUGACUCCAAGAGGAGAUUUUCAAGAGGAAAAAGCUUGAAACUGGAAAAUACGUUCAUUUGGGUUCUAUUUUCUCAUAUGUAUUAUGAUCUGUGCCAUGUACUAAUUCCUUAAAAUCAAAGUUGUGGCACUCUGAGGGACUUUGGAAUUUGUUAGUUUUGUUCAUUCUAUUUUAAAUAUGGGUAAAUUUAGGCCCAGGGGAAUUAAGGAGCUUUCUCAGGAUCAUAUAGUUGGUUAGUGACAGGGCCAGAAGAGUCUUCUUAGUAAGCCAUACUACCAUCUACGUAUUCAAAAUGCAAAUUUAUUUUUUUUUCUUGAGAACAGGUCAUGAGGUUUGAAGAUUAGAAAAAGGAUUUCCUAAAGUCAUUCCUGAGUGAACUAAUGGAAGAAAUACGACCUGGAGAAUUUUUGUCAAGGUGGGGAUAGUUAGUUAAGAGAUUAAAAGGAAAAUUAAAUAAACUAACCCUUGCAGAGUGCUUGGAUGAAUCUGAGAAAGGAGUAGACACUGCUCCAUCUCUCCUUUCCUCUGCAUAAAGCUGAUCCCAUAUCAUUAAUCCAAAAAUGAUUAUAGGCUUCUCAAAUGGCUUGAAUUUGUAAACUCAUUCUCUCAUUUUAAAAUUCAUAUGAAAACAUAUUUUUGUGAUGUGGCAUUUUAAGUUUCGAAAAUAUUUAAAUAUGUUUUCCUUGUGUGGCCGCUAUUACUGCUAUGUAGAAGGAGAACAUAAUGUAUGGUAACCUUUUUUGACAUGUUGUUGAAUCCCCAGAUGUCAAUCCACAUCUUACAUUCUUUGUUAUCUAUUCCUGUAAUUCAAAUCUCUCCUCCACCCCAUCAGUAUUCUAUUUAUAAAUCAUUUCCAUCAAUACUUCAUUGUGUUUUGGGCAUAUCUUUUUUUGCUUUGUAGGUCUCACUCAAAAACAAUUUUGUUUUUUUCCCAGAUAUAUGGAACUUCUAAGUAUUCUAGGGUAGCAGAUAGUUAAUGUCUCCCAGAGGAGAUUAAAAAUUCCUUUAAUGUAUCCUGAGGGGGAAUCUAUGGCAGUAAAAGAAAAAUAUUCUUAUUAUUAUGGGUCAGCAUUGUUUCUGUCGAGAGACUGCCUGUUCAUGCUCUCUUAAAGAUGCCACCUCUUCAAGGUGGGAGAAAGUUUAUUCUAAGUUGUAUGUCUUCCUUUGAUCCCAAUCCCAAAGCCAUGCAACAGCCAGAGUUUCUAAGGCUAAAAACAAAUGCAGCACAAUGAAAAAGUCAUCUUAAGUAACCACCUAAUAACCUAUACUGAUUCCUGAGGAUCUACUCAGACCAUGCUGAAAUGAGGCUUCUGUUUCAUCUUUACCAGAGAGCCUCCACUCAAUGGAGAAGGGCAAAGAUAUAAAGAGUGCUGAAAGACAUGAACACAGCUCUAACCUGGAUGUUUCCUCAUGAGUUUAAAUCACACAUUUGCAGCCUUCUUGAACCUAAAACCCCAAAUCCAUAACAUUCCUUGAUGUAUUUAUUGAAAUUUGAAUUUUCCUAGGUGUCCAGUUGGAAAUUCCAAGAAAUCAGA